rnacentral:rRNA from 1 species
UCGUCACACUAUCAUUAACUGAAUCCAUAGGUUAAUGAGGCGAACCGGGGGAACUGAAACAUCUAAGUACCCCGAGGAAAAGAAAUCAACCGAGAUUCCCCCAGUAGCGGCGAGCGAACGGGGAGGAGCCCAGAGCCUGAAUCAGCAUGUGUGUUAGUGGAAGCGUCUGGAAAGGCGCGCGAUACAGGGUGACAGCCCCGUACACAAAAGCGCAUGUGCUGUGAGCUCGAUGAGUAGGGCGGGACACGUGGUAUCCUGUCUGAAUAUGGGGGGACCAUCCUCCAAGGCUAAAUACUCCUGACUGACCGAUAGUGAACCAGUACCGUGAGGGAAAGGCGAAAAGAACCCCGGCGAGGGGAGUGAAAAAGAACCUGAAACCGUGUACGUACAAGCAGUGGGAGCACAGGUUUACCUGUGUGACUGCGUACCUUUUGUAUAAUGGGUCAGCGACUUAUAUUCUGUAGCAAGGUUAACCGAAUAGGGGAGCCGGAGGGAAACCGAGUCUUAAUUGGGCGUUAAGUUGCAGGGUAUAGACCCGAAACCCGGUGAUCUAGCCAUGGGCAGGUUGAAGGUUGGGUAACACUAACUGGAGGACCGAACCGACUAAUGUUGAAAAAUUAGCGGAUGACCUGUGGCUGGGGGUGAAAGGCCAAUCAAACCGGGAGAUAGCUGGUUCUCCCCGAAAGCUAUUUAGGUAGCGCCUCGUGAAUUCAUCUCCGGGGGUAGAGCACUGUUUCGGCUAGGGGGCCAUCCCGGCUUACCAACCCGAUGCAAACUGCGAAUACCGGAGAAUGUUAUCACGGGAGACACACGGCGGGUGCUAACGUCCGUCGUGAAGAGGGAAACAACCCAGACCGCCAGCUAAGGUCCCAAAGUCAUGGUUAAGUGGGAAACGAUGUGGGAAGGCCCAGACAGCCAGGAUGUUGGCUUAGAAGCAGCCAUCAUUUAAAGAAAGCGUAAUAGCUCACUGGUCGAGUCGGCCUGCGCGGAAGAUGUAACGGGGCUAAACCAUGCACCGAAGCUGCGGCAGCGACACUGUGUGUUGUUG